AUUGAACGCUGGCGGCAGGCCUAACACAUGCAAGUCGAGCGGAUGAAGGGAGCUUGCUCCUUGAUUCAGCGGCGGACGGGUGAGUAAUGCCUAGGAAUCUUCCUGGUAGUGGUGGAUAACGUCCGGAAACGGGCGCUAAUACCGCAUACGUCCUGAGGGAGAAAGUGGGGGAUCUUCGGACCUCACGCUAUCAGAUGAGCCUAGGUCGGAUUAGCUAGUUGGUGGGGUAAAGGCCUACCAAGGCGACGAUCCGUAACGGGUCUGAGAGGAUGAUCAGUCACACUGGGACUGAGACACGGUCCAGAGUCCUACGGGAGGCAGAAGUGGGGAAGAUUGGACAAUGGGGGAAAGCCUGAUCCAGCCAUGCCGCGUGUAUGAAGAAGGUCUUCGGAUUGUAAAGCACUUUAAGUUGGGAGGAAGGGCAGUAAGUUAAUACCUUGCUGUUUUGACGUUACCAACAGAAUAAGCACCGGCUAACUUCGUG
rnacentral:rRNA from 1 species